rnacentral:rRNA from 1 species
CACGUAGGGUGCGAGCGUUGUCCGGAAUUACUGGGCGUAAAGGGCGCGUAGGCGGCCUUCUAAGUCGGACGUGAAAUCCCUCGGCUUAACCGAGGAACUGCGUCCGAUACUGAAAGGCUUGAAUCCGGGAGAGGGAUGUGGAAUUCCAGGUGUAGCGGUGAAAUGCGUAGAUAUCUGGAGGAACACCGGUGGCGAAGGCGGCAUCCUGGACCGGUAUUGACGCUGAGGCGCGAAAGCUAGGGGAGCAAACGGG